GGUGUUAUUAAGCCUGUUGUAGUGCUAAAGCUUGUGAUUCUACUACUGUGCUUUCACCAGGUGUUAUAGGCCUAUUACAGUGCUAAAGCUUGUGAUUUUGCUACUGUGCUUUCAACGGUUGUUAUAGACCUAUUACAGUGCUAAAGCUUGUGAUUUUGCUACUGUGCUUUCAACAGGUGUUACAGGCCAGGUGUAGUGCUAAAGCUUGUGAUUCUGCUACUGUGCUUUCACCAGGAGUUAUAGACCUAUUACAGUGUUAAAGUUUGUGAUUUUUCCGCUGUGCUUUCACCGAGUGUUAUAGGCCUAGUUUAGUGAUAAACUCAUGAUUUUAAAUACGCGUCAGAGUUCAGAGGCUGGCAUUUUGGUGAUAUCAUGAUAAUCUUGAGGUUAUGAAUAAAAACCACUGUUUAUACACUUGUCCAUCCGUCGCUAUGCCUGCUACGAGUGAUAAUCAUUAAGAAUAGUAGAAAGUUAUAAAGUUUAUAAAUUUGUAAAGCUGAUUGUCACUGCACUACCGGCUACGAGUGAAAAUCAUCAAGUUUCGUAAAAAGUCAUUAAAUUUAUACCGUGCAAGGUGGAUUGGCAAUAUAUAUCGUCACAAUAUUUGCUACGAUUGCAAUUAUAGAAAGUAUUUUUUUUCUUAAAAAUAAUAAAAAAAAAAAACUACUGUAGCGCGGCUAUGUCUAGGAAAGAUUGUCAUUCUUAGCCUUGAUGUCCAUUGAAAACGAAGAUGGUUAACACUAAAGUGACAGGGAAGUUUUAUGAAAAUAAAAUAUGAAGAUCGAAUUAAAAGUUACGAAUAACAUUCAUAGGAGAAAGUGACAACGGAAGCACAAAUCACAUGGCAAGAGAAAGCUGGUUGCCACCCAUUCCGUGACAGUUGUAAAGUAAAACUGGAGACUGCGUAUCACCACUAGAAACAUCCCAGCACAAUGGCCUUUUUCCCGGACGAAUAUCUUUGUGCCAAGUUAAGUGGUAGCUCUGCUCUCCUCCCCUACUGCACUCCUGAAGGCCAAACCUUUCUCCAUGGCGCUUGUAGCGAGAAUCAACACACAAGUCUGGGUUUGCUACGCUCUGGAUCUUCAGCAGAUAAUAAACGUAACCGGGGCCCCAAAGGGAAAUCAACCAGAAGAAAGAGAAGGGACAGUAAAAGAUGCUAAAUAAAUGAAUAUGAGGGAAUAGAAAAAUAAAAGCAAUACAGGGAGAUUCAGAUGUCAGCAGAGAGCAGUAAUGAAUUUACUCCUCAGAGGAUUUGACAAAAAAGUUAAGUAUAUCUUAGUUGACCCAGACCACCGAGCUGAUUAACAGCUCUCCUAGGGCUGGCACGAAGGAUUAUAUAUUUUUACAUGGCUAGAUCCAACUGGUUACCUAGCAACAGGACCUACAGCUUACGUAUUGUGGGAUCCGAACCACAUUAUAUGGAGAAAUGAAUUUCUAAUCGGCAGAAAUAAAUUCCUUUGAUUCCACAUUGGCAGAGCUGGGAACCGAACACGCAACUACCGAAACGGUAGGCGAGCGCGCAACCCACUCGCCCAACAAGGAACUUUUAUAGAGGUGAGAGGAUUUACAACUGCACCAAGCAAACUAUUCCACAUUUUAUUUGUAGCCAAGAUAAAACUCCUAGGAAACUGAGUAGUACUGAUCCUGUUGCAAGCAAAUGAGUUUGUAGCAGCAGCAUAAUGGAGCCCACAUGGAUUUGCUUACAAUAUUUGGUUGUUUCAGGAAGGUGGUCCAGCAUUGUAAGGACCUGAGUCGUCACCUAAAGAACUUUGGUCAACUUUAGAGCUUCUGGGGUCCCUCAGGGUGAACAUGGCAUUGAACCGUAAAUCUAUGCCAAUUUAGCCAGGUGUACAUAAAUCAGCUCUGGAAAUCAAACCAAGCAAGAGUUGUCUUCUAGGGAGCAGCAGUGGUGUGGCGACAUCAGUUUUUUGCAAAUGCUUGCAAGUUGGAGCACAUGGAGGACACUGCUGUAUUGCAGCAAACUCACAGCUCAGUGCAGUAAAUGCUUCUUCAGUUGUCUGAACAAUGGAGAGAUUAAGGGAAUGUUCACUUUACUAUGGCAACUUAGAUCCUACCAAGUCUGUGCAAGGACCAAGACCUGAAGAGGGACCUGCGUCUUGUGGAAGCUGGGGCAGUGCCCCCAUGGUUUGCUCGCAGAUGAAGGGUUGCUCCUCCUUGAAGAUUGACCCAGGUUUCUAUGCUGCCUUCUGUGCCAGGCUCUAGAAUGAUAACUAACCUGUGAAAAGGUCUCCAAGGACAAUAUUUGCUGAAUUCAGAAGUUCUCUUGACCCAGUCCUGACUUCAAGAACAAGAGUAGCUCUCCUGGAAACUUCACCCUCGACCACCCACUCACACUCAAAGACACUUGUCAUUCAGCUCAUGAAAAGGGAACUGCACUGUGAUCACAUUUGCAGCUGUCAAGUACACUGGCUUUGACAACUAGGUAGCUACAGAUUUGCAAACCUUAAGAGUUUUUACUCACUAUGCCAUACUCCAGGCUUUGAAAACACUUAACUCGAGACUAAAAUAGGCAGUUAAUAAUACAGCUCCUUACUACAAAAGCUAGCCCACCUCACACAGGAAGUGACCAUAGAAGGCCCCAGCACACCACCUCCGACACCUGCAGCUCCUACCUUGCCACCAGAGGGUGCAGCAACCCCAUCAGUACCCCCUCCACAGAAAGCAAUCAUUCAAAAACCCACCCCCUUCCUUGUCCAGAUGCAACUUUUCAAAAUUGCCAGGAAUGGCAAUGUCGCUAGGACGAUUAUUCAGUCAUGGUGGAUCUGCCUAAGUUACCCAGACAGGAAAAAUGAAUCCAAAUAAGGAUGUGACUUGCCUUGGAGAGACAAAGGAUAGUCGAGCACACCUUAGCAUAAUUGAGAUGGAGAUGUUAGCCGUAACCUGGGGCUAUGUCUAAAUGCAAACUGUACAGACUUUUUACUGGCCAGAAUUGACUUGACAUCGCAAGUACUGUUUAAGAUUAUGGGCCUUGCCAGGUUUUACAACCCAGCAUCCAGCAGGAACAAGACGACGACCACUCUGCUAUGCCCUCAGGAGAACUUGAAUAAGAAGAGCGAAGAUCUCUCCUAAGUUCCAAUGUUACCAUGUGAGAUAUUCCACUCUUACACUGGUUUUCAUGUCGUCUAUAGGAGGGAGCUACUCACGUCCUUAAUGACCAUCUAGACUAGCAACAAGUAAACUAUGCAACUGUAAAAAUUGUCGGUGCUUCUGACCAAGAAUGUGUGUGAUAACAGAAGCACUGCAUAUGUACAUUAGCACCAGAGCCUCUUGACAGGUUCUUGACAGGUAACAUCAUCCCUUGUCUCCCAUAACCAUAACAGAUGAUGAGCUACAACUUCUCAAGUUGUGGGUUAACCAAUCAACUCACACUCGACGUGGUUCGGAAGUCACAUAAAGCCAUUGGUCCCAUUGCUGAAUAACCACUGGUUCCAUGCAACAUAAAAACACCAUACAAACAAACAUCUAUGUAAUGCACCAGACUUGAUUGGCCACUGUAUUUACCAUUUCUUCCCAGCUAAGAUGUAAAGUCAUCCCUUUAGGAAAUAAAAUGUUUUGUAAGUGCUACUCUUUAAAUGUUCUUGUAGGAUUUUGAUUAACCAUCUUGCUGCCAAAAAUAGGGGUUUCUCUUGUAUUGAACUAGAGAACGUGCAAUGCUGGCUUCUUUUUUCUGGUCAAAGUUGCAUUCUUAUUCUCCAUAAAGCUUCCCAAGACAUUUUUAUCAUUAUUCUGAAGGCAAAAAAAAAAAAAAAAUCUGGAGAGACUAUACAAACCUGAAAAUAAGAAUAAUAUCAGUCAAACCAAGAAGAAUAGCUUAUCAAUCUCUUACCUAAUUC